UCUGAAUCUGCGUACGGCUCCGCAAACCAGUUGUAAACUAGAGCAAGCAAGUCUGGCGGGCUUCGGCCUCCAGACGAUAUGGAUAACCCUGGUAAUUCUGAGGCUAAUACAUGACCGCAAAACCGGGCAGCCCAGCAAUGGAUGCUCGGGGAUGUGCGAUAUGGCUUGACAAUGACCGGGAAAGGACGCACACUCAGACCGCGCUAAAAAGGAUCGGGACUCUCUUCGGAGAACCUGGCCCCAGCGGCUCUUGCUGUGUGCUUCUGACCUAUCAACUAGACGGCAGCGUAAUGGACAUGCUAUGGU
rnacentral:rRNA from 1 species